AGCAGCCGCGGUAAUUCCAGCUCCAAUAGCGUAUAUUAAAGUUGUUGCAGUUAAAAAGCUCGUAGUUGAGGGUUGGGGGGCGCGGGCUGGUCUGGCUUCUGGUCAGUACUGGCAGGGCGCCCUCUUUUUUUUGUUUCUGGUGUGUGCUCUUUAGUGGGUGCGCACCGGCAGACAAAACGAUUACCUUGAGAAAAA
rnacentral:rRNA from 1 species